rnacentral:rRNA from 1 species
AUACGUAGGGUGCGAGCGUUGUCCGGAAUUACUGGGCGUAAAGAGCUCGUAGGUGGUUUGUCGCGUCGUCUGUGAAAUUCCGGGGCUUAACUCCGGGCGUGCAGGCGAUACGGGCAUAACUUGAGUACUGUAGGGGAGACUGGAAUUCCUGGUGUAGCGGUGAAAUGCGCAGAUAUCAGGAGGAACACCGGUGGCGAAGGGGGGUCUCUGGGCAGUAACUGACGCUGAGGAGCGAAAGCAUGGGUAGCGAACAGGAUUAGAUACCCUGGUGGUCCAUGCCGUAAACGGUGGGCGCUAGGUGUAGGGGUCUUCCACGACUUCUGUGCCGUAGCUAACGCAUUAAGCGCCCCGCCUGGGGAGUACGGCCGCAAGGCUAAAACUCAAAGGAAUUGACGGGG